CGGAACGUACCCAGUAGCGGGGGAUAACUACUCGAAAGAGUAGCUAAUACCGCAUACGCCCUACGGGGGAAAGGGGGGGAUCUUCGGACCUCCCACUAUUGGAGCGGCUGAUAUCGGAUUAGCUAGUUGGUGAGGUAAAGGCUCACCAAGGCGACGAUCCGUAGCUGGUUUGAGAGGACGACCAGCCACACUGGAACUGAGACACGGUCCAGACUCCUACGGGAGGCAGCAGUGGGGAAUUUUGGACAAUGGGGGAAACCCUGAUCCAGCCAUUCCGCGUGUGUGAAGAAGGCCUUCGGGUUGUAAAGCACUUUUGGCGGGAAAGAAACGGCGUCGACUAAUACUCGGCGUAACUGACGGUACCCGCAGAAUAAGCACCGGCUAACUACGUGCCAGCAGCCGCGGUAAUACGUAGGGUGCAAGCGUUAAUCGGAAUUACUGGGCGUAAAGCGUGCGCAGGCGGUUCGGAAAGAAAGAUGUGAAAUCCCAGGGCUCAACCUUGGAACUGCAUUUUUAACUACCGGACUAGAGUAUGUCAGAGGGGGGUGGAAUUCCACGU
rnacentral:rRNA from 1 species